rnacentral:lncRNA from 1 species
UCCUUAAUUCUAGGGAUACAAAUACUUAAUUCUAGAGAUACAAAUAUAAAUAUACAGAUUACAAGAUUACAACCAGCUGUAAAUAAGUGUUUUCCCACACAAACAACCCUCAUCAACUGGCUUAUCCGUCUUAUUCAAUUUCAAAUUAUAAUUUUCAUAGGUUUGGGAAAUUAGCAAAAGCGGAUUGUAAGUCAUGGGCUCAACUUCGAUGGGACUAAUACUAUGCCCUUCUAGAGGUUCAAAUCCUAAAAUUGAUUCCUCGUCCUCAAAAUCUACCAUCAUAAUAAAUGUUGGCAUAUUAAUCAAAAUAGGCUCCUAAUCAUCUUGAUUUUCUUUGGAUAUCUCAUACUCUUCUUGUGGUUCAUCCUCAACUGGUUGUGUAGUUUCUAGGAGUGGUUUUGCAACUAACAUCAACAUCUUUCCUUCUUCAACCGAAUCUUCUAUGAACUCUUUAGGGUCUUCUUCUUGAAUGUACUCAUCAUGAUCUUCCUCAAGUAUUUUCACAAAGCUAGGUAGGUUCACCACCAUGGGCUCAUCCAUCAUGUCGUCAUCAUCAUCGUUAGCAACAUACACCUCUUUUCCUUUCUUCUGAUCAUCUUUUAAAAUACUCUCCACUUCACCCAUCCAACUUGGAUCUACAUGUUUUUUUAGGCUUUCAAAUUGGCAAUUUGGGUUUCGAGGAGAUUGGCUUGAUUUCGAAUGAAUUCAUCAAGGGAAGGUUCUGUUUCUUAAUGAGGAGAUGGUGGGUCACAUGAAGGAAAGUGUUGUGGUGAUGGAUGGUAUUGAGGAGGUGGAUCAUAUGGUGGAAGAAAGUAUUGUUGAGAUGGAAGGUUCAUAAGGUAGGUUGGGGUAUAUAUGGAUGAUGGCUCUUGACUGCUUCCCCAUUGGUAAUUCGGAUGAUCCUCAAAAUCGAGUGUCGGUGUUUGGGUAAAAGCAGGAUUGAUUAUCUUGACACCUAUCACUAUAUUAUUCCCCAUUAUAGAUACGACAAUUGUCAAAAGGGCUCUGAAUUGAAUUGACAUGGUUAAGAUUAAGCCUUCUUUCAACAACAUUUACCUUUUCAGCUAAUGAUGCAAGUGAUGAGGAUAUGGCUGUAAGUGGAUCUUGGUCAUACCAUUCGAAAGUGCUCCACAGUCAAGAAGUUUGGAACAGUGGUUGGAUAUGGGAAUACUCAAAAGUCGCUUGUCAUAAUCCCCAAAGGUUCUGCCUCACUGCCAUAAAAAUCUGACAUAAUAGGGAAAAAAAAAAAGAACACGUUAGAGCAAAUAAAAGUAAAAGGUGUUUAGAUUACAAGAGUUUAAGAAAUCCUUAUUUAUAUUGAGAACACCGUUAUAAUCCCCGGCAACGGCACCACAAACUUGAUUGCUACUUUUUGUAUAGAGCCUAUAAGUGCACAAAUCAAGUAAUAAAGUGGAGUAUUCCAAGCAUCGUCUGCAUAGGGGGAUUAUAGAAUGUAGUGUUAGGUAGUUCACAAGUACCAAAGACAAAAGGUUGAGAUUCUAUAUCUAAACAAAUGAAAUUGUAGGGAUUUAGGAUUACAAGAUUUAAAUAGAUAUGGAUAAAGUAAAGAUUAAAAGUAAUGUAUGGCAGGGUUCUAAACUUCAUCAAAACUUAAAAGAUUAUAAAGUAAAGAUUUAAAAGAUUGUAGACAAGAUGCCGAAUUGUUUUGAAAGUAAAUAAAAGUUGCAUGAAAGAAAUUAAAGAUCAAGAAGGAACAUGUAGUUGAAUCUUGCAAGAAAAUAAAGAAAACUUGGAUCAAUCUUGGAAAAGAAUGCUUUGCUGAAUAGUAAAGAAAACAAGAACAAGAUUUUGCAAACAAGAAAACAAGAAAAGAAAUUUUUGAAUGAAAAUACUUCUUGAUUGAAAAAGAAUUAAAGAACAAGAAUUUGGUAAUUGGCAAAUCUGUCACCUUAACUAAUGAAAUAAAAAACUAAUGAAACUAAGAGAAAGAAGAGAA